GAGGAUGUGGUGAGCUACUAUAUAUGGUUCAGCCGACGAAUUUCCUUCCUUGCAGAAUAGAUGACCAAUAAUGGAGCAUCUCCCAGGGGCUUGAAUGCCAAAAUCAUAGCUCUGGAUGGCAAAGUUGUGAGGUUCAUUGAAGGUAAUCCAGUUUUUCACUCUAUCUCCAAAUGCCUUGAAGCAGGUGUUAGCAUAAUGCUCAAAGUCCUCUCUGCAAAGCACUUCUUAUUGUUAUAAGUCUUUGGUAAAACAAACUUACUGAAUAGUCUUCUGCAUCAACUUUAUGCAAAUUAUCAAAUUAUGCUAGAAAUGCCUACUUACAUAAUUUUCUUGUCCAACCAGCCUCCAUACUUGUCCUGAAGCAUCUGCGGAAGAUCCCAGUGAUAUAAAGUCACAUAAGGCUUGAUUCCUGAUUCAGAUAGGGUUAACUCAGUUUUUUUUUUCAGUUAUAUCAAAGCAAAACUUCUAAAAGACAUCUCAGAGGUAUCAUAAAGAACCAACCUUUUUCUAGUAACCCAUCAAUGAGUUUGUUGUAAUAUGUUAUGCCUUCUGGGUUUAGAUUCCCUGUUCCAUCUGUUGCAAUAAAUUUUCAAAAGCAAUCAGCUAUAGAUAGAAGAACAUUGCUAAGAAACAGAAUUGAUUUUUACUUUCCAUAACUUACUUGGAAAGAUUCUUGUCCACGAGAUGGAGAAUCUGUAGGCAUCCAUUCCCAAAUCUUUCAUCAACCCUAUAUCAUCCUGCACAAAUAUGUAAUUUCACAGCUUGUCAAUAUUAUCUUCACCUGAUUGGCCAUUAGUUGAAGUAACCAGGUCAGACAAGGAAUAAAAACUGAUAAAAUUCUAUCUGCAUUUCCUUUGUUUUUUUCAUUCGUGAUUUUUUUGCUUGUAGGACGGUGACAGUGACACAUCAUCAGCAUUAUCACUAGCUGUCGUUAUAAUAUUUGAUAUGUGGGACAUGUGGUCUUCUUCUCUUAGUUUAAGAUUCUUAUCCAUCUCAAAAUUCUUGUUUUCUUUGUCCCUGCUCUUUUCUUUUGGCCGGUGCCUCUUUCAUUUCUGUGGAAAGAGUAGUCUUGAAUGAACUAGCUGAUACACGUUAAGACUUUCCCAAAUUUAAUUAUACAUUGGUUUCUUGGACAAUCCCAGAAAUAGUUGUCAACUUUGUUUCUUUACGAAGAUACUCUCCUAUUGUCCCCUCCGAAUCGUAGUCAUCACGACGUGCACACCAGCCAUAUAUAUUCGAGCCAAGAUCUUGUUCACGUGCCUUCCAAUCCUUUUUACCAUGACGCUUACCUUCAAAGGAUUUCUCAAAAUCGGUUGCUUUGGUGAAACCAUUCCAGUCACUGUCAAAUUGCACAAUGGCCUGACCGGUAUGGUUCUUUUCAUCCCACAACACAUGCACUUUUGCAGGCCUAUACAUUUCAAAUUCUUUCAACCAGUAGUCACCAUCCUGGACUUCAGAAUUUGCAGAUAUGUUGACAACAAUGCCCGUCCAUGGCCAUGCAAACUUGUCUUCUUGAUCAGGAGAGGUAACAGGGGGUGGUGGGAUAGGUCGAGUCAGAGUCUCAUCUGCCAGAUGAGCCAAAUCAACUUCCACGUACUUUGCCAAGGCAAGAUGGUUAGCUUUCUGCUUGCCACUUCUAUUGGCAGAACCCCUGCCCACCCCGGAUGCAUGCUGAAGCAAUUCUUUGAAUUUAUAUCCUUGUUUCUUCUUCCCAGCACAGAAAGGGCAUCUCAAUGUCCCGUUAACUUGCACUUUGUAAUACUGAGAUCUCAGCAGCUCAUAUGGUUUGUCCACAUGAUCAAUAAUCUCCGACUCGCUGAUGUCAGACUCUUCGUCAGAUCCAGAAGAAUGACUCAUUCUUAAACUGUUUCACCUCCGAAAAUCACUACCCUGAAUUUGUUAAAUAAGGAAAUGCAAAAUGUCAGAAGGCAACAAACAAAAUGGCAACCCAUAAUAACAAGAAUGCAUGUCCAGGCUUCCGGAGAAGUAGAACAACAUGAACUAAUUAGCCAGCACAGAUCAUUCUCACAAUUUAACACAAGAAAACAACAAACCCAAGCCCUUCCCCGAAAACCCUAAGCAGCCAACACUCAACCCUUAACUUGUACUGACAUGCAUUGUUAUGAACAUCAACCCUGUUAGCUCAUUUAUAGUCCCCAACCUGUCACCACACAGUCACAAUGGAGCCCUACACGAACCGUCCGAUGAUCGCAAAACGGACCCAGAUUUUGGGCUUCGGAAAUGGACACAAGUCAAGUCACCACGCGAGCUCGAGAGAGAGAGAUUACCUGAGAAAGAAGAGUGAAGCCGUUCCUCCUAUCCCCUUUGCCGUCAGCGGUCGAUUUUCUAUGUGAAGCGGGGGUGGGGACGAGGAGGACGCAGAGCGAAUACUGUGAGGGUGAGUGUGACAGUCUACUGCUUUGGGAACUUGAUAAUUUUGACGGUCUGCAGAAAGGCAGAGAAAUAAUCAGCUGCCGUUGGGGGUUCACCUGAGUCCUUAUUGUUUAAUAUUAAAAAAGCGUUUUUAAUUAUUAUAAUUUUCUGUGUAUUUAGACUGAAACGUACAAUGAUUGGCGGGUGAAGAGAAAUGGGAGUCCACAUUCUUUCCUUCAAUCUGGUGAUUUGACAACUCUGCCCCCAGGCUAUUCAUUUUGUCAAUCCAAUUAGUAGUGCCUAGCAUUAAAAAAUGUUUUAAUUCCUUAAACGCCCUACAUUUUACAGUCAAUUCUGACAAUCGACGUUGACUGCCGACGUCAUGAUCGGGCUGUUAACGUUGACCGCCAACGUUUGAAUCAAUUUACUCACCAAUUAUAGUGGACCAACCCAACGGGCCAAACUCUAUAAAAGGAUCGUUGAACAUCAUAAUAAAUCGAGGCAUUAACACGUGGCCAAAAUUGUAAGACUAUUAUAAAAAGCAAAACCUCAUAUUUGUGGUAGAGGUUAGACACUUUUCACUACGCAUAGAUUAUGAAAGAUACAAAGAUAGAGAGUAAGCGGUAGAAAUGAAAAGAAAAUAAAAAUAUAUAUAUAGUUCUAGUCACAUUAUUCAUUCCCAAUUUACCCUCAAUCCGUGUCUCUUCAUUUCAGUCAUUUGCAGCCAUUGGAUUUGAUUGUGACUCAAUUUCAGUUAUAGGAACGUUCCUAUAGAUUGGUCUAUUGGCACCACAUCCGGACUGAUUGAAUGCAUGGUACAACGUCAAAUUUUCGGGAAUUUUCUAUUCACAGCUACGUGAGUGUGAGUAAAAAUACAGCCAACUGGCUCAGGAUUUCAGAAUCUCGUUCCUUUGAAUAUGCGCAAACUAUCUUUACUCUAUUUUUUUGUCAACUCUGGCUAUCAAGUUCAGUACUUUGUGAUCUCAGCAUACGUUUGAACCAAUUUACAGAAGCUUUUGGUAUCCUUGUGAGGUUAUGACUAUAGUCAACAUAGUAUAGCCCGAACCGGACGGUGUAUCCCGAGUUCCAUUCCCAGUUGUCUAGCAAUGACCAUAUGAAAUACCCUCCUACGUUGCACCCGUCUACCCUGCAUCAUCAUAUGAUUAAACGAGUUUGGAGUCUUCCUAUUUUGGAUAGCAGUAGCACACCACAUGUUUGAUAAAAUGCCUUCCUGCCUAUUACCUUAUGGAUGCAGACAGGUUUGAGAGAUAAUCUCUGUGGUACUCUAUCCUUUUCUCAUCCUGCAAUGCCUUUUCUCUUGAUAUGAAUGGGCUAUUGGGAUCAUCCAUUCCUGAAGAAGAAUUAUUAUGCAACUGAGGAAUCUCAAGAAAAGUUUGCAACUUUAUAAGUACUGUCAUUAGUAAGAGCUUACUUACUUACCAUUCUCUGUUAUGAUCACAAGUGGGUUUCCAUACUUAUCUUUUACAUAAUUCAUCAACUUCCGGAUGCCCCAAGGGACAAUCCUUAGCCAACUGGAUGCUGCCUGGAAAAAUGAGCAACAAUUAGUGACUACUUUGAAUCACUGAUGUAUGCAACAGGGUAAGUUCUCCAGUAGGGCUUACUUUUUCUCCAAUAGCAAUUCCAUUCCUGUAAGCUACAAUCAGAAUAGUCACAGGAUGUUAUUUUCCUACUGGGGAAUGAACAAAUGGACUGUGUUUCUCAGACUUUGGCAUACUUACAGGAAGUAAUGAAGGCAGAAUCAGUGGAAGCGUCUUGCAGUAUCAGCUUCUGAAACCUAGUUCUGUCGUUCCGAACAUAAGAUGUUGUGUAAUGGUUGAGGCCAAUAAAGUCCACUGACCCCAUAAUUAGAUUUGCCAUCUCUGAAGAGAUCUCAGGUAGUCGUUCACCGGCAAGCUUUAUCAUUGAAAGUGGGUAUCGGCCAACGAAAAUUGGAUCAAGAAACCUGCAAUUCACAUUCAAUUUUAAGUUAAACAGAAUUGGUACAUCAUGAUUUAAGAGUCUGCUAAUCAGUUACAUUGUCACAGGGAAAGAAGUGAAUGUAACCAUCCAAGUGUGAAGUCCAUUGCUCUAUUUGCAGCAUCUUUGUCCUCAUCAGCAUCAAACUUUGGUUCGAACCAUUUGGCAUCUAAUACUAUCCCAAUGCGACCUCCUUGUUUCCCCUAGAAAUUGAAUGAAAUUGAAAUCUAUCACUCUUUUCAAUCCGAUAUGGUCGAUAAGGAUCUAUGAGAUAGGACGCUAGAGGAAUACCUUGAAAUGUGACUGGUAGCUGUGAUAAGCAGCUGCAUGUGACAAGAGGAUGUGGUGAGCUACUAUAUAUGGUUCAGAUGAUGAAUUUCCUUCCUUACAGAAUAGAUGACCAAUAAUGGAGCAUCUCCCAGGAGCUUGAAUCCCAAAAUCAUAGCUCUGGAUGGCAAAGUUGUGAGGCUCAUUGAAGGUAAUCCAGUUUUUCACUCUAUCUCCAAAUGCCUUGAAGCAGGUGUUAGCAUAAUGCUCAAAGUCCUCUCUGUAAAUGACCUCUUAUAUUAUAAAUGUUUGUUAUGAAAAACCUUACUGAAUAGUGUUUCUGCAUCAACUAUAUGCAAAUGACCAAAUUCUGCUAGAA
rnacentral:lncRNA from 1 species